rnacentral:rRNA from 1 species
AACGCGAAGAACCUUACCUACUCUUGACAUCCAUGGAAGCUGGCAGAGAUGCUGGUGUGCCUUCGGGAACCAUGAGACAGGUGCUGCAUGGCUGUCGUCAGCUCGUGUCGUGAGAUGUUGGGUUAAGUCCCGUAACGAGCGCAACCCUUAUCCUUAGUUGCCAUUGGGUAAAGCCAGGAACUCUAGGGAGACUGCCGGUGACAAGCCGGAGGAAGGCGGGGACGAUGUCAAGUCAUCAUGGCCCUUACGAGUAGGGCUACACACGUGCUACAAUGGGCGGUACAGAGGGAAGCGAAACUGUGAAGUGGAGCGAAUCUCACUAAAGCCGCUCGUAGUCCGGAUUGGAGUCUGCAACUCGACUCCAUGAAGUUGGAAUCGCUAGUAAUCGCGGAUCAGAACGCCGCGGUGAAUACGUUCCCGGGCCUUGUACACACCGCGAGC